rnacentral:lncRNA from 1 species
AACACAACAUUACUACAUUUUAACGGUGUUAAAGGCUGUAUGACAGUGAGCUAUUAAAAUUAUUCUGUUUUGAUGAUUGGGUAGCUGGAAUGUGGAGUAUGAAUGUUUUUUUACAUUUUUUUUUAAUUAAUUUUUUUUAUCAAUAAAACUUGGCAAACGUCUCGUAGACCCCUGACCAUUUGUGUGUACUACUCAUGUAUUUGUGUGUACUACUCAUGUAUUCUUGAAGGAAAAUAUCUGUUUUUAUUCCCCCCCCCCAGUGUAUUUACACUUCCUGUCCUUUUUUAGUAAAGUAUUUUGUUGUGAUAAAUAAGUUGCAAAAGCAAAAUGUGUAUUCAGACAGACCUGAGACUAUCUGAGCAGACUGACCAGGUUAGAUGCAGACUGACCGGGUUAGACGCAGACUGACUAGGUUAGACGCUGAUCUAUCAGACUGACUAGGUUAGACACAGACUGACUAGUUGUCUUUCUCCUCUCCCCUCCCCUGUCUAUAUACUAGUUGUCUUUCUCCCCUCCCCUGUCUAUAUACUAGUUGUCUUUCUCCCCUCCCCUGUCUAUAUACUAGUUUUGUCUUUCUCCUCCCCUCCCCUGUCUAUAUACUAGUUGUCUUUCUCCCCUCCCCUGUCUAUAUACUAGUUG